rnacentral:rRNA from 1 species
GAUGAACGCUGGCGGCGUGCCUAAUACAUGCAAGUCGAGCGAACAGACGAGGAGCUUGCUCCUCUGAUGUUAGCGGCGGACGGGUGAGUAACACGUGGAUAACCUACCUAUAAGACUGGGAUAACUUCGGGAAACCGGAGCUAAUACCGGAUAACAUGUUGAACCGCAUGGUUCAACAGUGAAAGACGGUCUUGCUGUCACUUAUAGAUGGAUCCGCGCCGCAUUAGCUAGUUGGUAAGGUAACGGCUUACCAAGGCAACGAUGCGUAGCCGACCUGAGAGGGUGAUAGGCCACACUGGAACUGAGACACGGUCCAGACUACUACGGGAGGCAGCAGUAGGGAAUGUUCCGCAAUGGGCGAAAGCCUGACGGAGCAACGCCGCGUGAGUGAAGAAGGUCUUCGGAUCGUAAAACUCUGUUAUUAGGGAAGAACAAAUGUGUAAGUAACUAUGCACGUCUUGACGGUACCUAAUCAGAAAGCCACGGCUAACUACGUG